rnacentral:rRNA from 1 species
AUUGAACGCUGGCGGCAUGCCUUACACAUGCAAGUCGAACGGCAGCAUGAUCUAGCUUGCUAGAUUGAUGGCGAGUGGCGAACGGGUGAGUAAUACAUCGGAACGUGCCCUGUAGUGGGGGAUAACUAGUCGAAAGAUUAGCUAAUACCGCAUACGACCUGAGGAUGAAAGUGGGGGACCGCAAGGCCUCAUGCUAUAGGAGCGGCCGAUGUCUGAUUAGCUAGUUGGUGAGGUAAAGGCUCACCAAGGCGACGAUCAGUAGCUGGUCUGAGAGGACGAUCAGCCACACUGGGACUGAGACACGGCCCAGACUCCUACGGGAGGCAGCAGUGGGGAAUUUUGGACAAUGGGCGAAAGCCUGAUCCAGCAAUGCCGCGUGUGUGAAGAAGGCCUUCGGGUUGUAAAGCACUUUUGUCCGGAAAGAAAUGGCUCUGGUUAAUACCUGGGGUCGAUGACGGUACCGGAAGAAUAAGGACCGGCUAACUACGUG